GUGCUUCGAUAGCACAUAUACUAAAAUUUGAACAAUACAGAGAAGAUUAACAUGGCCCCUGCACAAGGAGGACAUGCAAAUGCAUGAAGCUUUUCAUACCCCU